rnacentral:rRNA from 1 species
CCUACGGGAGGCAGCAGUGGGGAAUAUUGCACAAUGGGCGCAAGCCUGAUGCAGCGACGCCGCGUGGGGGAUGAAGGCCUUCGGGUUGUAAACUCCUUUCGCUAUCGACGAAGCCACUUGUGGUGACGGUAGGUAGAUAAGAAGCACCGGCUAACUACGUGCCAGCAGCCGCGGUAAUACGUAGGGUGCAAGCGUUGUCCGGAAUUACUGGGCGUAAAGAGCUCGUAGGUGGUUUGUCGCGUCGUCUGUGAAAUCCCGGGGCUUAACUUCGGGCGUGCAGGCGAUACGGGCAUAACUUGAGUGCUGUAGGGGAGACUGGAAUUCCUGGUGUAGCGGUGAAAUGCGCAGAUAUCAGGAGGAACACCGAUGGCGAAGGCAGGUCUCUGGGCAGUAACUGACGCUGAGGAGCGAAAGCAUGGGUAGCGAACAGGAUUAGAUACCCUGGUAGUC